rnacentral:rRNA from 1 species
UACGGAGGGUGCAAGCGUUAUCCGGAUUCACUGGGUUUAAAGGGUGCGUAGGCGGACAGGUAAGUCAGUGGUGAAAUCUCUGGGCUUAACUCAGAAACUGCCGUUGAUACUAUUUGUCUUGAGUGUCAUGGAGGUAAGCGGAAUAUGUCAUGUAGCGGUGAAAUGCUUAGAUAUGACAUAGAACACCGAUAGCGAAGGCAGCUUACUACAUGAAGAUUGACGCUGAGGCACGAAAGCGUGGGGAGCAAACAGG